GUGCCGGCAGCCGCGGUAAUACGUAGGUGGCAAGCGUUGUCCGGAAUUAUUGGGCGUAAAGCGCGCGCAGGUGGUUUCUUAAGUCUGAUGUGAAAGCCCACGGCUCAACCGUGGAGGGUCAUUGGAAACUGGGAGACUUGAGUGCAGAAGAGGAUAGUGGAAUUCCAAGUGUAGCGGUGAAAUGCGUAGAGAUUUGGAGGAACACCAGUGGCGAAGGCGACUAUCUGGUCUGUAUCUGACACUGAGGCGCGAAAGCGUGGGGAGCAAACAGGAUUAGAAACCCUUGUAGUCC
rnacentral:rRNA from 1 species